AUCUAUGGUCUCUCCAAACAAUUUCUAGUAGUGAAAGAAGAAUAUGCCGUCAUGUACAAGAAGUCUUUUUGUCCAGGAUAAAGGAAAUGGGUAAUAAGCAAAUUCAAGAUAAAGUUAGCAUCAAUCCUUUACCCCGUCAAAUUCGUCAUGCAGAUACAGAGGCAGGAUGGUGUGCUUUGGCCUUAGGACAAAGUGUCUGGUCAUAUUUGUGAACUGAGACUUGAAAAUGGACAUGAACUGUUGUAUAUGAAGAAGGUGCUCCGACACAUUGGAAGUCAGUGAUUGGAACAUCAACGCAGUAGCUUCCUGGUUACCGAGAACCAGUGGUUUCACUGGAGUGCUAUCAGCUACACCGGAAGGAACAACAGAGAAUGAAAAAGAAGGUAAAAGGAAGCUGAGUGAAGGAGUUUGGUUGAGUCCUGUUUCUUGGAUAAGCAAAGGUCAGUCAAACAUUCCAGAAUAUCUGCUUGCUAAGACAACUUGUGCAGGUCUGAGUCACUCUUUUGGAUAUUAUUUAAUGCCUAGACUAAGUAUUCUUUUUUUAUGAAUUUUAAAAAUUUUAACACAGUUGAAAUCAGUGUGCCAGGUUCAUUUCAGCUCCUUCCUUGCCAAACCGAGGGGCAGGGGCUGCUUCAGUUUCUCUGCCUUCUCUUUUUCUGUGAUGACAAGAUGUGAAGGUAUCCGCUGCAUUGAACUUUAGACUUCACCUUAUCCUUAUUUUUCUUGAUCUCAACAGAUUUGGCAUCCUUUUGCCUGGCUGUGAGCAGAAAGUCCUUGAUUUUAUCCAUUUUUUGAGGCAUGGCUCUGAGAGGCGCAGGAGAACGUGCGGCUGGCACUGCGAGCUGUAAGAAGCAAGGAGUAAACUAAGUCUUUGAGUAUUUCCUGAGCAAUGAAAAGUCAUGGUGGUAUGUGUGAAUGGUUUAAAUCUGUAGCUCUCACAUUGUAGCAGGCAUCAGAGUAAUCUGGAGAACCUUUAAAACACAGAUUGCUUGGGCCCGUCCCCAGAGUUUCUGUUCAGAAGGUCAGGGGCAGAGCCUGAGAAUUUGCAUUUUUAACAAGCUCCUAGGUGAUGUAGAUACCACUGGUUGGGGGACUACACUUUGUGAUCCAUUAGUAUCUCCUUGUUUCCAUGCUUAUAUUUUAUAAUAAUCCUAUCAAAUAGCUAUGAGUAAGCUCCAUUCCAACCCUCAAUUCCCCAACCCUUCAAAUAAUAGAUGGAGUUAAGUAAAGCUUUUAAAAGUGACCAGGGGAGAGUCAUGGAAAUGAAGUCCAUGCUCAGAGGGACUGCUCUUUUUGAGAACCUGGCUAGCUUCUUUUGAAAUAAGCUGAAUUCUAGUGCUUGUGGCAGAGACUAUGAAACACAAG
rnacentral:lncRNA from 1 species